rnacentral:lncRNA from 1 species
UAACUGUGUUUAAUAAUUUAAAUGUUCUGUACCCUCAACUAUACCCUUGUGAAACUUCCCUAGGAGCUCUGUUGAAACAUUUUGGAGGUGGGGCACAACCAACGCAACCAGGCCCAAGUGCCAGUGUUACAGCUGAUGAUACAGCAGAUCCAGCCUCUGCAGGUGAGGAGCACUUACUAGCAUCUGCAUCCA